UACGGAGGGAGCUAGCGUUGUUCGGAAUUACUGGGGACGUAAAGCGCGCGUAGGCGGCUUUGUAAGUUAGAGGUGAAAGCCCGGAGCUCAACUCCGGAACUGCCUUUAAAACUGCAUCGCUUGAAUCCGGGAGAGGUGAGUGGAAUUCCGAGUGUAGAGGUGAAAUUCGUAGAUAUUCGGAAGAACACCAGUGGCGAAGGCGGCAUCCUGGACCAAGACUGACACUGAAAAGCGAAAGCCAGGGGAGCAAACGGG
rnacentral:rRNA from 1 species